UUUAUCGCCCGCUUCGAACGACUGCCGAUGUUGCCUCGAUGUCGUUUAGUAUCCAUGGGAUGCUUCGUCCUCGUGCGAUGCCGGUGUCUAUGAGGAAUGC
rnacentral:misc_RNA from 1 species